rnacentral:rRNA from 1 species
GAUGAACGCUGGCGGCGUGCCUAAUACAUGCAAGUCGAGCGAACAGACGAGGAGCUUGCUCCUCUGACGUUAGCGGCGGACGGGUGAGUAACACGUGGAUAACCUACCUAUAAGACUUGGAUAACUUCGGGAAACCGGAGCUAAUACCGGAUAAUAUAUUGAACCGCAUGGUUCAAUAGUGAAAUACGGUUUUGCUGUCACUUAUAGAUGGAUCCUCGCCGCAUUAGCUAGUUGGUAAGGUAACGGCUUACCAAGGCAACGAUGCGUAGCCGACCUGAGAGGGUGAUGGGCCACACUGGAACUGGAACACGGCCCAGACACCUAGGGAAGGCACCAGUAGGGAAUCUUCCGAAAAGGGCGAAAGCUUGAAGGAGCAACGCCGCGUGAGUGAUGAAGGUCUUCGGAUCGUAAAACUCUGUUAUUAGGGAAGAACAAAUGUGUAAGUAACUAUGCACGUCUUGACGGUACCUAAUCAGAAAGCCACGGCUAACUACGUG